GUGGGGAAUCUUGCGCAAUGGGCGAAAGCCUGACGCAGCCAUGCCGCGUGGAUGAUGAAGGUCUUAGGAUUGUAAAAUCCUUUCAGCGGGGACGAUAAUGACGGUACCCGCAGAAGAAGCCCCGGCUAACUUCGUGCCAGCAGCCGCGGUAAUACGAAGGGGGCUAGCGUUGCUCGGAAUUACUGGGCGUAAAGGGAGCGUAGGCGGAUGAAUUAGUCAGGGGUGAAAUCCCGGGGCUCAACCUCGGAACUGCCUUUGAUACUGUUCAUCUUGAGUAUGGGAGAGGUGUGUGGAACUCCGAGUGUAGAGGUGAAAUUCGUAGAUAUUCGGAAGAACACCAGUGGCGAAGGCGACACACUGGCCCAUUACUGACGCUGAGGCUCGAAAGCGUGGGGAGCAAACAGG
rnacentral:rRNA from 1 species